UAUGGGACCAACUCUGCUUUCAGAGCCUGGAAUGAAGCAAGCACUUAUAUGAGCACAAUGAAGAAAAUGUACACCACCUACUGAAUUUCACCACAAGGAUCAUAUCUACAAUAAAAACAUAGGUGCACACAGGGAAAAGAAACACGUAUACACCACAGAGCUGGGUAUACUGGAACCUGCAAAUGGACCCAGGAGGGACAGAAGCAAGCUUUGAGCCACUGUAGCGGGCUGCCUCCGCUAAUGGUGUCUUGAAGGACUUGGCUACCGUUUGUAUCUUCCCCCAACACCACGCUCUGCAGUCAUCAUUUAGUUAGCAGCCUGAGAGCGUGAAAUAACAACAUGUCACUAUUUCACAGAAUGCGGCGAGGUGGAAGUGACGCUGAGGUGUGUACACCCUUUCCUCCUAACAACCCAGUGAGAUGAAGCUGACCUUAGAGUCACUUCCUAUGAGAGGUUGGCUGGCAGGUCUGGGACCCAGAGCCAUCUAGAGUAGACUAGCUUACACUAGUCCGCUCCGAUCCACCACCUCCUCUACGCCCACUUUGUACCUCUGCCUGUUUACGGAAGGUAGAAGGCUGGCUUGAGGAGAAGCUGAAGGGAGAGUGAAGGAGAGGCAGAUGCCCAGGUACAGAUGUAGAGGUCUGUCUUCAGUUUAAAGACAGCAGAUGUCACUUUUCAUCUGGCAGGGUUUGCCACCAAAGGCUUUGAAGACAAAAGGUAACUGAGUUUUUGAUUACUUUUUGUUUUUAUAUUUUUUUAUGGGAUACGAAGUGAUGUGAUGAUGUGUCUGUUCAAUGCAUGUGGUGGCUUGAAAGAAAAUGUGAGUGGCAUAUUAGGAGGUGUGGCUUUUUUGAAGUAGGUGUGGCCUUUUGGAGGAAGUAUGUCACCAUUGGGGUGGGCUUUGAAGUCUCCUAUGCUCAAGCUACACCCAGUGUGAGACAGUUAACUUCCUGUUGCCUGCAGAUCAAGAUGUAGAACUCUUAGCUCCUUCUCCAGCACCAUGUCUGCCUGCAUGCCACCCACUAUGAUGACAACAGAUUAAACCUCUGAUUGGUAAGAUAGCCCCAAUUAAAGGUUUUCCUUUAUAACA